UACAGAGGGUGCAAGCGUUAAUCGGAUUUACUGGGCGUAAAGGGCGCGUAGGCGGAUUGCUAAGUCAGGGGUGAAAUCCUGGAGCUCAACUCCAGAACUGCCUUUGAUACUGGCGACCUUGAGUCCGGGAGAGGUGAGUGGAACUGCGAGUGUAGAGGUGAAAUUCGUAGAUAUUCGGAGGAACACCAGUGGCGAAGGGCGGCUCACUGGUCCAUUACUGACGCUGAGGUGCGAAAGCGUGGGGGAGCAAACAGG
rnacentral:rRNA from 1 species